rnacentral:rRNA from 1 species
CCUACGGGUGGCAGCAGUGGGGAAUAUUGCACAAUGGGGGAAACCCUGAUGCAGCGACGCCGCGUGAGUGAAGAAGGUCUUCGGUAUGUAAAGCCCUAUCAGCAGGGAAGAUAAUGACGGUACUUGACUAAGAAGCAGCGGCGAAAUACGUGCCAGCAGCCGCGGUAAUACGUAGGGGGCAAGCGUUAUCCGGAUUUACUGGGGGUAAUGGGAGCUUAGGUGGCAGGGCAAGUCAGAUGUGAAAACCGGGGGCGCAACCCCGGGUGUGCAUUUGAAACUGCUAAGCUGGAGUGGAGGAGAGGUAAGCGGAAUUCCUGGUGUAGCGGUGAAAUGCAUAGAUAUUAGGCGGAACGCCAGUGGCGAAGGCGGCAUACUGGCCUGUAACUGACGCUGAGGCUCGAAAGCGUGGGGAGCGAACAGGAUUAGAUACCCGAGUAGUC